rnacentral:rRNA from 1 species
ACGAACGCUGGCGGCGUGCUUAACACCUGCAAGUCGAACGGUGAAGCGCUUGCCUUUUUGGUGGGUGUGGAUGAGUGGCGAACGGGUGAGUAACACGUGAGUAACCUGCCCUCUUCUUCUGGAUAACCUCAUGAAAGUGGGGCUAAUACGGGGUAUUCCGGGUCUGUCGCAUGGCGGGUUUGGGAAAGAUUGCGCCUUUGGGUGUUUUCGGUGGGGGAUGGGCUCGCGGCCUAUCAGCUUGUUGGUGGGGUGAUGGCCUACCAAGGCGGUGACGGGUAGCCGGCCUGAGAGGGUGGACGGCCACACUGGGACUGAGACACGGCCCAGACUCCUGCGGGAGGCAGCAGUGGGGAAUAUUGCACAAUGGGCGCAAGCCUGAUGCAGCGACGCCGCGUGAGGGAUGGAGGCCUUCGGGUUGUGAACCUCUUUCGCCAGUGAAGCAGGCCUGCUCCUGUGUGGGUGGGUUGACGGUAGCUGGAUAAGAAGCGCCGGCUAACUACGUG